GACUACAAGGUAAAAUAGAAUAAAUAUAAUAAAUAUCACUGGCAGCCACGCCUAAAUAUGGGAGCAGCCAGAAGAAGAAGAAAAUGAUGCACUAAUGCAGUUUUAUUUCCACAGCCUGUAGGACUAUUGAGGGAGAGUCACACUACACCACAAUCCUUCACCAGCACCCAUAUAUGAACCCAGCUGACGUGCUUUGCUAGCUGCAUGAGACUGCUGGGAAUAUUAACCUGUCAGACCAUCGGACCAGAACCACAAGAAGCUCCAGCACAUCGUACACUGUGCUGUAAAUGACAGUAGAUGAGAGGAGACUAGCAGACCAGCACCAGCGCAUCAUGUGUCACACAGCUGUACAUCAACUUCUGGUGCUAAAAUAUCCUCACCAGUGCAGUCCAACAACCACAGAAGAUCCCUGUCCAUGAUAUUCAAGAUCAACCUGAAGAGACUCCACAGAUCUUCAGUCACAUCAACUGUAGUCUGUUUAAUUAG